rnacentral:rRNA from 1 species
CCUACGGGGGGCAGCAGUGGGGAAUAUUGGACAAUGGGGGCAACCCUGAUCCAGCCAUGCCGCGUGUGUGAAGAAGGCCCUCGGGUUGUAAAGCACUUUCAGUGAGGAAGAACGCCUGGUGGUUAAUACCCAUCAGGAAAGACAUCACUCACAGAAGAAGCACCGGCUAACUCCGUGCCAGCAGCCGCGGUAAUACGGAGGGUGCGAGCGUUAAUCGGAAUUACUGGGCGUAAAGCGCGCGUAGGUGGCUUGAUAAGCCGGUUGUGAAAGCCCCGGGCUCAACCUGGGAACGGCAUCCGGAACUGUCUAGCUAGAGUGUAGGAGAGGAAGGUAGAAUUCCCGGUGUAGCGGUGAAAUGCGUAGAGAUCGGGAGGAAUACCAGUGGCGAAGGCGGCCUUCUGGACUGACACUGACACUGAGGUGCGAAAGCGUGGGUAGCAAACAGGAUUAGAUACCCUAGUAGUC